UGCCAGCCGCCGCGGUAAUACGAAGGGCCCGAGCGUUAAUCGGAAUCACUGGGCUUAAAGCGUGUGUAGGCGGACAUGAAGGCGAUUUGUGAAAUCCCUCGUCUCAAACGAGGAACUGCAGGUCGAACCACGUGUCUUGAGACAGGUAGGGGUGGUCGGAACCGUAGGUGGAGUGGUGAUAUGCGUUGAUAUCUACGGGAACGCCGAAGGAGAAGUCAGGCCACUGGGCCUGUUCUGACGCUGAGACACGAAAGCGUGGGGAGCGAACGGGAUUAGAUA
rnacentral:rRNA from 1 species